GGGACAGUUUCGAGCGCGAUGAUGGCGAAGUGGAGGCGACCCGAAAGCAUUUUCUACACGUUCCUGCUAUACAUCUCACUCCUUACGCACAACGGCUUCAUCCAUGGCCGCAGCUUUGGUUGGUGGUGCUUUUCUCUCUGCUUUUCUUCAAGUGGCUUUUGACAGGCUGGCUUCUCGUGGUGUCCUCGACUUCUUCAAGAACCGAAAAUUGAACGAGACAUUACUGAAUAAGUUGAAGAUCGUGCUGUUAUCCAUCGAUGCUGUGGUUGAUGAUGCAGAGCAAAAGCAGAUCACUAAUACAAAGGUGAAGGACUGGAUUUAUAUGGUCAAAGAUGCUGUGUUCGAUGCUGAGGAUGUCUUGGACGAGAUUGAUUAUGAGGUGCUCAAGCGCAAGGUGGAAGCCGAACAUCAGAGUAAAACCAGUGUUACGGCCAAGAUUGCCAACAACAUCUUUGGUGGAUGAAACUAGAACAUAUGGUAGAGAUGAUGACAAAAAAACGAUCAUUGAAUGGUUGCUAUCAGACAAGGAUAACACCCAGCUAUCUAUCAUUUCUAUAGUGGGUAUGGGUGGAUUGGGUAAAACUACCCUUGCCCAGCUCGUUUAUAAUGAUAGGAUGGCUAUAGAUGAAUUUGACCUCAAAGCUUGGGUGUGCGUCUCUGAUGAGUUUGAUGUCCUAAGAGUAACAAGAACAAUUUAUGAGGCAAUCACUAUGUCUAGGGAUGAUACCAACGAUUUAAACGUGCUUCAAAUUAAAUUGAAGCAGCGGUUGAGUCAGAAGAGAUUUCUCAUUGUUUUAGACGACGUGUGGAAUGAAAAUUUUAUGCUAUGGGAGGCCUUGCAAUCACCUUUCAAUCAUGGGGCUCCUGGAAGUAAAAUUCUUCUAACCACUCGCAGUGCAAAGGUUGUUUCAACCAUGCGUUCUUCUAAAAUACAUUCAUUGAAGCCCUUAUCAGAAGGAGAUAGUUGGCUGUUGUUAAGUGAAUACGCAUUCCAUGGUAGAGAUGCUCUUUCUUCAAGCUUUGACCUUGAAGAAAUCGGUAGGAGAAUAAGUAAAAAGUGCAAAGGGUUGCCUUUAGCUUUGAAAGCCAUUGGGAGUCUCUUGUACGCGGAGUUUUCUCUUGUGCAAUGGACUGGCAUUUUAAAAAGUGAGAUAUGGGAGGAGAAAAGCGAUAGCAAAAUUCUCCCUUCUUUGAGAUUGAGUUAUCAUUAUCUCCCUUCUUUUCUCAAGAGAUGCUUUGCUUAUUGCUCUAUAUUCCCUAAAGAUUAUGACUUUGACAAGGAGCGUUUAAUUCAGUUAUGGAUGGCAGAAAAUUUUCUACCAUGUGCCCAUCAAAGCAAAGUUGCAAGAGAAGUAGGAGAACAAUUCUUCCAUGACUUAUUGUCGAGGUCAUUUUUUCAACAAUCAAUGGAAGAUGAAACACGCUUUGUCAUGCAUGACCUUAUUAAUGAUUUGGCAAAAGUUGAAUAUGGAAAAUUUUGUCAUCUGUUGCUGGUGGAUGAAGAAAAUAAUUUGACAAAAAUGACCCGGCAUGUUUCAUAUUUAAGAACUUUCUAUGAAUACUCCAAUCGAUUUGCGGUUAUGUGCCAGGCUAGUAAAUUGCGAACGUUUUUGCCUCUAUCUAUGCAAGGACAUAGAAGUACAAGCCAUACCUCUUUCUUUCAUUGCAUAUCUUUCAAGGUUAUUCUCGAUUUAGUAUCCAAGUUCAGAUGCAUGCGUGUUUUAUCUCUGUCUGGUUAUCAUCACAUUGUGAGUUUGCCCGAUUCCAUAGGAAACCUCAAACAUCUACGUUUUUUAGACUUAUCAGGAACCAAGAUAAAGAAAUUGCCUGAUUCAAUCUGCCAACUUUUUCAUUUACAAACGUUAAAGUUGUGGCGUUGUCGUGAUUUGAAAAAGUUGCCCAUGGAUGUGCAUAAACUCAUGAAUCUACGUUAUCUUGAUUUUCGUGAGACUGGAGUGAGAGAGAUGCCAAAGCAAUUGAGUAAAUUGAAAAAUCUUCAGGUGCUGUCAUCAUUUAUUGUGGACAAAUGUGGACAGUCAAACAUUAAACAGUUGAAAGAAUUUAAUCUUUGUGGAUCAGUUUCCAUCUUAGAGUUGCAGAAUGUAGUUUCUCCUGCUGAUGCUUUGGCAGUUAAUUUGAGAAACAAGAUAUACCUUAAGGAGUUAACAUUAGAGUGGAGUAUGGACCAUGGAAAAUUGCAAAUUGACCAGGAUGUCCUAGAGAAACUCCAACCUCAUCAAAAUUUAAAAAAGCUAUCAAUUAGCAACUAUGGUGGUAUCGGAUUUCCUAGUUGGUUUGCAGACCAUUCACUGUCCAACAUAGUAUCCCUAGAGCUGAGGAAUUGCAUAUUCUGUAUGUCCUUGCCAUCACUAGGCCUUUUCCCAUCUCUCAAGUCAUUGUCAAUUAUGGGGUGUCACAGUGUACUGACCAUUGGUCUAGAAUUUCAUGAAACCUCUACAUCCCUAGAAAUCUUGAGCUUUGGGGAUAUGAAGGGUUGGGAGGAAUGGAAAUGUGAAAAUAUGUCCAGUACUUUCUCGAAUCUUCAGGAGUUGCGUAUUGAAAAUUGUCCCAAACUGAAAGGGCAUCUUCCUCAACAACUUCCUUCUCUAACGAUGCUGGUUAUUUGCAAUUGCGAGAAGCUUGUGGCUUCCAUUCCGUGGGCUCCAUCUCUUCAUAAGUUGGUUUUAAGACAUUGUGGAAAGGAGCAGAUGGAAUGUCUUCCAUCAACUUUAAAAGUUCUCGAGAUUUGUGGAGGCUUUGCAGAAAUAUUAUCAGUUGAAAAAAUUGAGAAUACUAUUUUCAAUUCCACCAUUGAAGAGUUGAAGUUUUCUGAUUGUCCCCUCCUGGAAUUCCCAUUGCACUACUGUCAUAACUUCAUUUUUGAAUUGGAUAUAAGGGGAAGAUGUGACUCUCUGAAGUGUUUUCCACUAUGUUUAUUCCCCAAUCUUCAGUCAUUACUGUUGAUUGAAUGUAAUAAUCUUCAAACACUAUCUGUUUCAGCGGGACAACAUUACUCGCUUACAAGAUUGUGGAUACAAAGGUGUCCUAAUUUUGUAUUAUUUCCUGAAGGUGGCUUUUCGGCCCCAGAGCUAGCAUUUUGUUACAUUGAAGGAUUGAAGAAUUUGAAGUUGCUGCCAGAGAAGAUGCACAUCGUCUUUCCCUCCCUUGCACAUCUAUCAAUAAAAUGCUGCCCACAAGUGGAAUCAUUUCCAAUUGGAGGUUUGCCAUUAAAUCUUCAGCAUCUUGACGUUUCAGGAUGCCCAAAACUCAUGGCCUCUCAAAUGGGAUGGCAUUUGAGUAGACUUACUUCUCUACAACACUUGGGGAUUGGAAAUGUAGAUGAUGAGUUUCUUCCUAAUACAAUACUAUUUCCACCUUCUCUUGUUACCAUUUGGUUCUAUAACUGUGCAAAUCUUAGAUCGCUCGAAAACAAAAGUCUUUGCCACUUGUCCUCUUUGGACUGCUUGGCUUUUCUUGACUGUCCUAAGCUCCAAUACUUUCCGAAGGAUGGUUUGCCGAGUUCCCUUACGAUGCUAAAAAUUACAGGCUGUCCCUUGCUGGAAAAGAAGAUCCAAAAACAGAAAGGCAAAUGCUGGGCAAAGAUUUCUCACAUCCCUCUUCUUGACAUUGACCAUGAUAUGAUAAUUUUAAGUGAGCUUCUGAAUGAUGAGCGCUUCAGCUUUCGUACUAUCGCUUCACUCAUUAGUUGAGUCAUUUUUCAUUGCCGUUGAAGGGUCCCAAGCUGGGGACAAUCAUAUAUGGUGCUGCAACAACUCCAAACUCUGGUGCCUGGAUAGACUAAACUCUGGAACGUACAGUAUGUUUUUAUACAGGUUACAUUGAUCUUUCACUUGCUGAUCACCAGUUGUACUUCAAACAUAUUAUCAGGAAGAAUUCUUGACAUGCAAGCUUUUUAGAUGAUCACACGAUAAACAAUUAGCUGUAGGAAAGUGAGCAUUUGAUGGUUGUAUCAAGCCCAAAUUGUCCAGCUUCACAAAGCUGCACAUAAUUGUUGGGUAAAGCAUGCUGGCGCGCUGCGAUAGGCUAACCCAUAUUUCCAAGGGAAUCACUCAACUUAAAGGUCCAUAUUACUUCUUUGAAACGCAGCUAGAGAAGGGGCAAAAGAUGAAUCAGGCCUAAUGUACUCCGGGAAAUGAAAGCUCUAUCAAUUACCAAAUGUGAGAUAGCUGAGUUGCAGCAAGGCAGGAGCCAAUAUCAAACUACAUUUGUCACAGCCCAUAGAUUUUAUAUCUCGUGUGCAAAAGCAGAGCAUUCAGCUAUCCCAUCCCCCCCCCCCCCUUUUUUCUCUUCACUUUUCCGUCAAGUUUCCCUUGGUCUUCACCGUCAGCUACUCCUCUUGUUCUUUCCAUUUCCUCUCUUCCCCUUCGAUUUCUUCUUUUGCUGUCACUAUUUCAUAGCUGGAAGUACUGGGUUGUUGUAUUUUCACUGUGGUGUUCGCUGUUCUUUGCCUCUUCUCUAUUUUUGUGGCCGAAUGUGGAGGUGCGUGUGUGCUUUCAGCUUUCAUCUUUCCUUCAGCUGCUGGAAGUGCGUGCGUAUAUAUGUAAGUUUUGUUCCUUUUCCUUUUGGUGGCCGAAGUUCUCCGUUCCUCUCAUGCCUGUUCUGUCGUGAUUUUUGGGAGAAAAAUGUUGAAUUGGGUGGCUGUGUAAUUGAUUCUAUGUAUUAAUUCAUGGUUGCCAAGAUAAAAUUUGACUGUAAAAUUUUAUGUUUGAGAUGUUUGGAGGCUAGUUCAUUGUUGGAUUAGUGAUCAGUGCUCUUUAGGUGUUUAUAAAAAUGCUUGAAUGAA